AUGAUGUUGCGACAGAAUCAUCCAAAGAAGAAGCUUCAAGGAACCAGAUUCCACCUGACAUUCUAUGCAUUUUCUACACUUGGAGAAGCUCUAAAUUCUGGUGAGCCUAGCCCUUGGAUCACGGGCCGCUGCACCUCCGGUCCACAACACCUGAGAAUCAGAACUAAUCCUGACCUUGCAAAUGCAAGGGCAUCCCCAGAAUUCGACCCGUUAUUGAAAAGAUUCCAUGAAUCAUUUAUCAAUGCCAUCAAAUCAAUUUUUGGAAUAUUUAUUAAGAAAUAA